ensembl:lncRNA
GGCUGACUGCCCCUGGGGAGGGAUCUUUGGUUGGAGAUUCCUCUUUGAUGAAGCUUUACCCUGCAAACCUAGGCUCUUCUGAAACAGCAUUCUCUGUACCUGGUGCUGGCAUUUGGGAUCAUCAGGAAUGAAACAGAACAAAACGAACCAACACUAUAUUUGCCACUCGGGAUGGCUGCAGUGGGAGCGUGGCACAACAUAUGGUCCCAAGGAGGAGUAUUUGGUUCAUUAGCAGAAGCCUGGGGUUGUAAAUUUGAACAGAGCUUAGCACUGAGGCCAGCAGAUAGCUGGUGUGUUUCCUACCCACCUCCUCUUGCUCUGAAGUUGGCCAUGCAGUGUGUGCACUCCUGUGUGCAAGCUGCCUCUGGUUGUUACCACUGCACUGAGAAAUUGGGUAGGGUUGGUCUGAGCACAAUUUGUGCGGCUCUGUUGAUAGGGGAACCGGGUACACCAAGAUGUGCAGCUGCACAUCUGCACUCCAUGGGCUCUCUUUUGGGGCUGACCUGACCCGGGAGGCCCCAUGGCUGCAGAGCUGAGCUCUCUCAGCUCUUCCUGCUCCAGGGAGAUGUUCAGGACAUCCCAUCCCAUGUCAUGGGGAGAUCUCCCACUGACUGCUGUGGGAUACGAAGCAGGAGUUCGCCCCCAGAAAUCAGAUUCCAGCUCAACAGAGAGCCCUGGUGUUUCCAUCCAAGCUUGCCUCAGCAGGCAACUGUUAGUGAUGCCUCUUGAAAAGAGACAUCAGUAUCCUUCAGAAAACUUAUGUUUCACUUAGCCUAGUUAAAACCACUCUCCUUUAUGUCCUACUGCAAUCAUUUAAAACAAAGGAGCUCAUCAGCAGUUUAAUUCUCCAGGUCUCUACAUCACCGUGUCAGGGAAUGGGAAUAAGCUGGUAGGUUUUUUUUGUUGUUGUUUAAACACCUAAAGAGUGUCAGAAAAGAUUAAGCAAUUGUUUUGUGAAUUCCUACAGAGGAAAGCACUCACUGAGGCAAGUGUCAGCCGGGCUGAUGUUGUUUGCUGCUGUAACAAAUGAACAGUGGCACCUAUCUGUGCCCUGGACCUGCUGCAGUCAAAAGCAAAGUGCCGCAGCAGCGAUGGGGCAUUUUCAUGUCUAUCCCCACUGCUGGAAAGCAUAGAAGUGAAAUGAGGUGAGGGCAGGUGUAGGUAUUACCCAUGUUUUGGCCAUGUUUCAAGUGCGGCAGGAGAGGAUUUGUAAGGCUGCAGUAAUCAGGUGGUCAGCAGGGAAGGAGAUAAUGGACCAUGGAGCUGAUGGCCAGGGAAGCUUCUACGACCAGGCUGAGAAGUCCACACCAGCACACUGCCAGCAGAUUGCUUCCAACACACUGCCCACCACACCUCGUGUAUGAGAGUCACUAUUGCAAAACACAGAUACUGCCACUCGUCAGCACCGUCUGCAAUAGAACUGGAAAAGACACCAAGAAAGGCUGCAAGGAUGGGCUAAGGAUGGAGCAGCUUUACAGAAGCAGCAAGACACAAAUGGAGCAAGGACAGAAGUGAUAAGAUGUAAAGACAACCCCUGGCCCAAAAUGUGCUCAAAUCAGCAGCUCCCCGGAUGCAUUUCAACCCAGCUCCUGGGAUCUACUCUCAAAACACCCAACUGGGAUGAGACUUGAGCACCCAAACACCUUUGGAUGAUUGGGUUGAGGUGUUUCUGACACUGCUCAGGGCUCCAUCGCAUCACAUGAAGCCACAGACCUGCAGUGCUGCCAGGGCAGAGCUGAGCACCUUUCAGAGCUUGUCGUGUUACAUUUCUUUCAGAGAACAAAGCAGGGAAUUUCAGAUUUUAAUUUGUCACUUUACAUGUAAAUUAAAUGUUGUAUAUUG